rnacentral:rRNA from 1 species
UACGGAGGGGGCUAACGUUGUUCGGAAUUACUGGGCGUAAAGCGCGCGUAGGCGGACCUGCAAGUCGGGGGUGAAAGCCCGAGGCUCAACCUCGGAACUGCCUUCGAUACUGCGGGUCUCGAGUCCGGGAGAGGUGAGUGGAAUUCCUAGUGUAGAGGUGAAAUUCGUAGAUAUCAGGAGGAACACCUAUGGCGAAGGCAGCUCGCUGGGACGGUAUUGACGCUGAGACGCGAAAGCGUGGGGAGCGAACAGG